rnacentral:rRNA from 1 species
UACGGAGGAUCCGAGCGUUAUCCGGAUUUAUUGGGUUUAAAGGGUGCGUAGGCGGCCUUUUAAGUCAGCGGUGAAAGUCUGUGGCUCAACCAUAGAAUUGCCGUUGAAACUGGGGGGCUUGAGUAUGUUUGAGGCAGGCGGAAUGCGUGGUGUAGCGGUGAAAUGCAUAGAUAUCAUGAAGAACUCCGAUCGCGAAGGCAAGUGUCCGGGGUGCAACUGACGCUGAGGCUCGAAAGUGCGGGUAUCAAACAGG